UACAGAGGUGGCAAGCGUUGUUCGGAAUUACUGGGCGUAAAGGGCGCGUAGGCGGUCCGAUAAGUCCCGUGUGAAAUCCCUCGGCUCAACCGAGGAACCGCACGGGAAACUGCCGGGCUUGAGUUCGGGAGAGGGAAGCGGAAUUCCGGGUGUAGCGGUGAAAUGCGUAGAUAUCCGGAGGAACACCGGUGGCGAAGGCGGCUUCCUGGACCGACACUGACGCUGAGGCGCGAAAGCUAGGGGAGCAAACGGG
rnacentral:rRNA from 1 species